UACGAAGGGGGCUAGCGUUGCUCGGAAUGACUGGGCGUAAAGGGCGCGUAGGCGGAUUGUACAGUCAGGCGUGAAGUUCCCGGGCUCAACCUGGGGGCUGCGCUUGAGACGUGCGAUCUUGAGUGGGGAAGAGGGUCGUGGAAUUCCCAGUGUAGAGGUGAAAUUCGUAGAUAUUGGGAAGAACACCGGUGGCGAAGGCGGCGACCUGGUCCUUGACUGACGCUGAGGCGCGAAAGCGUGGGGAGCAAACAGG
rnacentral:rRNA from 1 species